UACAGAGGUCUCAAGCGUUAUUCGGAUUCAUUGGGCGUAAAGGGUGCGUAGGUGGCGCCGUAAGUCAGGUGUGAAAUUUCGGAGCUCAACUCCGAAACUGCAUUUGAUACUGCGGUGCUUGAGGACUGGAGAGGAGACUGGAAUUCACGGUGUAGCAGUGAAAUGCGUAGAUAUCGUGAGGAAGACCAGUGGCGAAGGCGGGUCUCUGGACAGUUCCUGACACUGAGGCACGAAGGCCAGGGGAGCAAACGGG
rnacentral:rRNA from 1 species